GAAAGGUGCAAUUUGAGCUCCAGAAACUUGUUGAUCGAUAUCGCUCUCAUAUUUCACAAACCAUAACACGCCCAUCUGAAUCUCUUCUGAAUCAACUUCGAACAGUUGAGGAGAUGAAAAGGCAAUGUGAUGAGAAAAGAGAAGUAUAUGAAUACAUGAGACAGAGGCACAAGGAGAAGGGGAGGUCAAAAACUGUCAAGGGAGAGAGCUUUACAUUGCAACAGUUGCAAACAGCCCGAGAAGA
rnacentral:misc_RNA from 1 species